rnacentral:rRNA from 1 species
AUUGAACGCUGGCGGCAGGCUUAACACAUGCAAGUCGAGCGGGGGAAGGUAGCUUGCUACCGGACCUAGCGGCGGACGGGUGAGGAAUGCUUAGGAAUCUGCCUAUUAGUGGGGGACAACAUCUCGAAAGGGAUGCUAAUACCGCAUACGUCCUACGGGAGACAGCAGGGGAUCUUCGGACCUUGCGCUAAUAGAUGAGCCUAAGUCGGAUUAGCUAGUUGGUGGGGUAAAGGCCUACCAAGGCGACGAUCUGUAGCGGGUCUGAGAGGAUGAUCCGCCACACGGGGACUGAGACACGGCCCAGACUCCUACGGGAGGCAGCAGUGGGGAAUAUUGGACAAUGGGGGGAACCCUGAUCCAGCCAUGCCGCGUGUGUGAAGAAGGCCUUAUGGUUGUAAAGCACUUUAAGCGAGGAGGAGGCUACUCUAGUUAAUACCUAGGGAUAGUGGACGUUACUCGCAGAAUAAGCACCGGCUAACUCUGUGCCAGCAGCCGCUGUAA